rnacentral:lncRNA from 1 species
CAGGCUUGAAUUAUUUUCGAGCAAAUCUCGAGCUUGUAGUUUAGCAAUAAUUUCAAAAGCUCAAGCUGUUAGUAAGAUACAAGCAAAUCACUUAAAAUAUACAAACACAUAUGGUCUCGAUUAUGACUCUACCCAAUCCCAUCUUCCACCACUUGGAACAUGAUUCGGCCCAACCCAGCCUCCCACUGUGAAUGUCGCUCAGGCCUCGGCCCAACCCGGCCAAACAUGACUCAGCGCAAUUCGGCCUCCAGUCAUUUCGAACGUCACUCAGCCCAAUCCAGCCCCCUGCCAUUUUGAAGGUCAUUUAGUCCAAUCCAGCCUCCUGCCAUGAGAUAAGAUGCUGGCUCCCUUAAGCCAACAAAGCUAACCCCA